UGUGUAAACCCAUAGGAUUUAUCGACGUCCCCCCAUGAAAUAAACGUGCAAAAGAUUUUACUCAUUUUUUUAUGACGCUGUAACUCAAAUGUUUUUAUGGCCAACACAUAAAACGCACGCACGAAUAAAAAGUAAACUUAUCACUUAUGUAAAAAUAUUUUUAUCUUUUCAAUAUUGUAUCAUGCAAUGAGCACGCAAAAGUAUUUAUUUUUUGUAAUAGCCUGUAUACUUCACUAUUAUAAAGUUUUAUUGUGAUAUGCUUGUCGGCCGAUUAUCUUAGGUUAUCGGGCGUUUUUACAUAAAUAAUAAUGCAAACUUCUUUAACAUUUAUGUGAGAAUUUAUUGUCACAAGAAUUAAAAGUUAUGGUUUUCUCACAUAUACUUGAAAACUAAGUUAGAUUUCAUGUACGACCUAAAUAAACGGUAUGGCUUGGGACGGAGUAGUCGCGAAUAUUGUGAAGAAUUCAAAAUAAAAUGGUCAAGAAGAUAAAUUACGAGUAAUGUUUGAACUAAGAAUUAAGAUUAUUUGUUUUUGAGUUUCUAAUAAACAGUCAAUUAUACAUGUUAGUAUCUUUAUUUUGCCAUGCAUGAAAUCGUCACCACCCAA